ensembl:snRNA U6 U6 spliceosomal RNA
GUGUUUCUUUGGCAGCACAUAUACUAAAAUUGGAACGACACAGAGAUUAGCAUGGCCUUUGUGCAGGAUGACUGGCAAAUUCAUGGAGUUCCAUACUUCU